GCCCGUCGACAGACGCGAGCAGCCACGCCGAUCCUCCUCUGGCGCACGCGAGAGAAGUCAGCUGCCCCCGUCGUUCAUCCUAUGAUCGACGCGACCGCGGGCGCCGCAACCUCCGCCCACAACACCAAGGUCUCAGUUGUUUUGCGCCGCUGCCCAUGCCGUCACCGCGACCUGCUGCUCGGCGGUGUCCCUCUCCAUGCCCUCCGCCGGCCACUCCGCCGCCGGCCAUGCCCGUGCAUCUCCAGGGUGCUGCGGGGAAUGUCACCGCUGCACGUCUGCAUAGCGUGGUGGCUGCGACGAGGCUGACUUUGCAGCUCAGCACAGCGUCCCGGAGCCCCUGCGCUCUCUCUCAGGAAUAAUGGCGUACGAGUAUAUAACAACGUUUGGCUGGGUUCCAGUGAGAGCACGGACAGGACCACCCCAACUCCUUGAUCAAUCCAUUUGUUAACGAAGUUAGCAAUGUUCAUGAGAAGAUGCAGCGUCACAAACAACUCAACAUUUAUCAUUGUAUAGUAUAGCUAGCAAAUCAUUGUAUAUUAUGGUUUAUACUUUUCUUCAUAUAUAAUACUACUAUCUUUGGGAAAGGUAGAAUAAUUGUUUCUCUCCAGUUGACAUGAUUGGCUAAAUUUCAAUAAAAGUCUUUUGGUUUGCAAUUUU